rnacentral:rRNA from 1 species
CCUACGGGAGGCAGCAGUGGGGAAUUGUUCACAAUGGGCGCAAGCCUGAUGACGCAACGCCGCGUGGAGGAUGAAGGUCUUCGGAUUGUAAACUCCUGUUGCCCGGGACGAAAAGCUUCGACCUAACACGUCGAAGUCUGACGGUACCGGGUGAGGAAGCCCCGGCUAACUCUGUGCCAGCAGCCGCGGUAAUACAGAGGGGGCAAGCGUUGUUCGGAAUUACUGGGCGUAAAGGGCGCGUAGGUGGCCUUCUAAGUUGAACGUGAAAUCCCUGGGCUCAACCCAGGAACUGCGUCCAAGACUGGGAGGCUUGAAUCCGGGAGAGGGAUGCGGAAUUCCAGGUGUAGCGGUGAAAUGCGUAGAUAUCUGGAGGAACACCGGUGGCGAAGGCGGCAUCCUGGACCGGUAUUGACACUGAGGCGCGAAAGCCAGGGGAGCAAACGGGGAUUAGAUACCCCGGUAGUCCUGGCCCUAAACGAUGAAUGCUUGGUGUGGCGGGUAUCGAUCCUCGCGUCGCGAGCUACGCAUAGACAUCCGUCCGUGGGAGGUACGGUCGGCGAGGCGUGAACGUACGAAAGGAAAGUUAGUACGGCGUGAGACGUGCCGACGGACGACGACGAGGGAGGAGG